rnacentral:lncRNA from 1 species
CACAGGGAGCCAGGGGUCCCCCGAGAGCUGAGGAGCAAGGCCCAAGUUCACCUGCGCUGCCGGCUCCAUCACAGCGGCCAAUGCACCUCGGGGUGUCCCCUGCACAGCCUUUGCUGUCCUUGGAUGAUCAGAAGGGCCUGCACUAGGUGUGUGUGUCGGUCUUCUGUGACCACAGGAACAAAUGACUCCACCCCAGUGACUUCAGACAGCAGAAAUUCUCUCCGGGUCAGGAGGCCAGAAGUGUGGAGUCAGGUCAUUAGCGGGCUCCAGGGAGGACCCGCCCUGCCUCUUCCCGCCUGUGCAGACCCCAAUGUCAGGGGGCGUUCACAGGGUAGGGGUCCUCCCCCAGGUGACAGUUGGAGUGGCCGUCACUGUUAGGAGACGUGCUUGAACCAGGCACCAGAAACCAGGUGGCCCUCACAACAGCUGGAAGCCCUGGGCUGAUAUCCCCAUGUGACAGAGGAGGAAACAGGCUCAGAGAGGUGGUGACUUUGCCCAGGUACAGACACCAGGCCACAUGUGCCAACUGGAUUUGUUUUGAUAGAGUCAAGAUAAAAUUCUGCAUGGAACCAAGCGUCCCAUUCCUGUCCCCACCCCUGGUCUUUGUGUCCUGGUUUUGGGUACACUUUUAUGAAGCAGAUGUGUAUGUUCUGCCUUAGGUUAUCAAACUGUUUGCUGUGAGCAUUGAAUAUACUUACUUUAAAACAGUCAUCAUAGAAACAUUUUCCUCAAAAAUUUUGAGCAGCUGUUCGGGAGGCUAAGGCCGGCACCGACACUUUGGAGAGUAGCCAAAGCUAUGCCUAGAGGGAAAUUCAUAGUCCCUUAAAUAUCUACCUGAGACUUCCAGUUCAUCUUCUGUGUUAUGUGUUGCCACAAUAGUGUUGCUUAAAAAUUGCACCCUGUGGUUCCAGACUGUGUUCAGUCAGGACUAUGGAGGUGGGUGGAGUCCCCAGCUUGGCCACUCAUACUUCAUCCUUGGGCUAAUGAGGCAGCUUUGCACCUUGGGUGGGCCCGUCCCCAUCUCGGGGCUACUCCAUAGCUGACCUGGCUGUACCGUCAUCUAGAGAGUGCUUCCCUGCCCCUCUCCUCUAGUUACCGCCUAUUGGCCCUUCAGGUCUCAACCCCACUCUGAGUGGUCUCCACUGUAGCCCCCAAGACCCAGGUGCCUGCCUUCUGGCCUCUGCCGGGUCUGGCACCACUAGGCACCUCCUCCCUGCACUGUGGCCUCUGGACUGUCACCAGCUGUCGGCUCCUGGAGGGCAAGGCCUGCCUUUGCUGGCCCCUUGGUAGCCCCUCACCUGUCCCCUUGAGAAACAAGGCAUUCAGAGGCUUUUUGUCCCCAAACCAGGAAGAUUCUGGGUGAGAGUGAGCCCAGCCUCCCCUGUGACCUGUCCUCUGCAGGAGCAUGUGUACUGCGAGGUGAUCCAGAUGGUGUUCCUCAGACCUCUAGGGCGUAAGUAACCAUGACAUGAAGGCGGAAGGGCCUGUGCUCUCUGGCCACCCUGGUUGGUUACUGCUGCUGAGUGGACCUGGAACUACCUGCAGGUCACAGAGUCCCUCUCGCAGGCAGUGGCCAGGCCAGCAACCCAGGCUGAGCCCUCCCUGCCAGGCCAGUCGGUGACCCCGGGCAGCCCAUGUGCUCCUGCCCACUCGCCUCCCCACCCCAGCCUGCCCAGAUUCGCUGUAGACUGGAUACGGUGCCUGUCCCCAGCUUAAGAGGUGCCCCAGGGUUCCACGACAGCUGGAUCUGGUUCAUCCCAAUCCUCUCGACUCCGUCAUUUCAAACCCCAUUUUC